GAAAUGCGAUACUUGGUGUGAAUUGCAGAAUCCCGUGAACCAUCGAGUCUUUGAACGCAAGUUGCGCCCGAAGCCAUUACGCUAAGGGCACGUCUGCCUGGGCGUCACGC
rnacentral:rRNA from 7 species